GAUGAAGAACGCAGCGAAAUGCGAUAAGUAGUGUGAAUUGCAGAAUUCAGUGAAUCAUCGAAUCUUUGAACGCACAUUGCGCCCUUUGGUAUUCCUUAGGGCAUGCCUGUUCGAGCGUCACUUAAACCUUCAAGCUAAGCUUGGUGUUGGGUGACUGUCCGCUUCACUGCGGACUCGCCUCAAAAUUAUUGGCGGCCGGUACAUUGGCUUCGAGCGCAGCAGAAACGCGAACUCGGGCCCGUCGUAUUGGCUCCCAGAAGCUAUCUUCACAAUUUUGACCUCGGAUCAGGUAGGGAUACCCGCUGAACUUAAGCAUAUCAAUAAGCGGAGGA
rnacentral:misc_RNA from 1 species